GUCUGUGUGACAACACAGGAAGGAAUACAUGAGGCUCAAGAAAUGAAUGCAAAACAAACAAAAAGGAAAUGAAGAUUUGGUGAUGGAGCUUGUUGUCUAGAUGUGAAGAAAAUGAAAGCAAAUAAGGGCUAUAUAUAUUGUUGAGAAUUUGUACCUUCUACAUGCUCUUCAAGUUUUGUAUUAAUAUAAUAUUAAUAUAAUUUUUUUCUUUUAAGUAA